UACGUAGGCAGCAAGCGUUGUUCGGAGUUACUGGGCGUAAAGGGUGUGUAGGCGGUUAUUUAAGUUUGGUGUGAAAUCUCCCGGCUCAACCGGGAGGGUGCGCCGAAUACUGAAUGACUUGGAGUGCAGGAGAGGAAAGUGGAAUUCCUGGUGUAGCGGUGAAAUGCGUAGAUAUCAGGAGGAACACCGGUGGUGUAGACGGCUUUCUGGACCGUAACUGACGCUGAGACACGAAAGCGUGGGUAGCAAACAGG
rnacentral:rRNA from 1 species